UACGUAGGUGGCAAGCGUUGUCCGGAUUUACUGGGCGUAAAGAGCGCGCAGGCGGCUGAUUAAGUCGAAUGUGAAAGCCCCCGGCUCAACUGGGGAGGGUCAUUCGAUACUGAUCAACUUGAAGGCAGGAGAGAGAAGUGGAAUUCCCGGUGUAGUGGUGAAAUGCGUAGAUAUCGGGAGGAACACCAGUGGCGAAGGCGACUUCCUGGCCUGUUCUUGACGCUGAGGCGCGAAAGCUAGGGUAGCAAACGGG
rnacentral:rRNA from 1 species